GCCCAGAUAGAUUAUAUUAGAUUAAUUAAACUAAUUUGGGCUUUGAUAUGAAAUCUGAGGGAAUUCAAAAUGAUUGGUUUAGGGCGUUAGGAAUGGAACCGGGGGAUGGGGGGUCCUUGAAAUGGUAAAAUCUGCUGUGUUCGGGGAGGUGGCAAGAAGGAAGCAGACUUUGCAGGUAUAAGGGUCAAAUGACAAAAACAAUGAGAUGAAAGGACACAUCCCCAUCCUAUGAUAUUGAUACCUGGUUGAGUGGCUCAUUCCAUGCCAUCCUAAAGAGGACUCAUCAUUUCAGACUGUCCUCAUAUGGUCUUCCCACUCUGGCCGCCUUGUUAACUGAAAUUGGACUGUCUCCAGCCUCCCGAUAUUUUCCUAAGGUACAAUGUGCUAACCUGGGGAUCGGUGAUAUUCAGGGUUCACAGGAACUGUACAGAAAACCUAGGAAGGAGCUAUCCAAGGGAUCUUACUGGAGUAAUUCGUUUAUUAUAUGUCUGAACAAGAGCUUCAGCUCUUUUAGCAAUAGCAAAACUGACAGCCUCCUCAAUUGUCUGCAGGACUU
rnacentral:lncRNA from 1 species